AGUGGGUGGAAAUAGGUCACUGUGGAGAUGGCUUUGAAGACUAUAUCUUGUCUCUGUAUCCCAUAUAUCACUGACUUUCUGGUUCCAAACUGACAAAAAAUCGUAUAAUGAGGACCUUCUUAGAGAAAGUGAAAUGAUGUUACCUGCUGAGUGAAUUACAUGUUUGCCAUUGAAAUCAUCUAACUGCAAAAACCAGAAACACAGAAGCAAACAUGCCAGCCAUUCCCUCCCUGGAAAUCCUUGGUCAGAAUUAUACAUAGUGAGAGUCUGAAAUGAACCUUUAGCAGCUAGUGGAGCAGAAAUGUAUCGACAAGGAGUUGUUUUCAAAGAAACCAUCUACUUGAUAGCAGCAACAAGAACCUGAGUCCUUUGCCGACCCACCACAAAUCCAGCUGAACAUAACCAUGUAAGAAUCAUGAAUUUUUACAAAAUACAAAAUGUGUAUUUGGGGGAACAAAUAGUAGGUUUUUCAAGGUUUGUUUUUUGCACAUUGUAGCAAGUGAUCAUAAUGAAGAACAAUGUUUGUUCCUAAAAGAAAUCCUCUGCCCAGUUCUUUAAAUACAAGAAUGAAAUUGUGUUUGUUCAUGAAAGACACUGUGAAAAAAAUUUUUAUUGAUGGAGCUUUUCCUGUGUUGGUUUUCUAGUUAAAUGAAAUUGAAUAAAAACACUGAUGUUAGACAGA